ensembl:lncRNA
CGGACGUGAACCCGGAAGCUGUACGGCAGGUAACAGUUGCUGAGGAAACUUGGAUUUCGGGGUUUUAACUGAAGUUCAUGGUGUUUAGAGGAGGGACUGAUGGACACCAGGAUGAAACCACAGACGGAUGAGACACGACGAGAGGAAGUUGGGUGCCAGGACUUCUCGAGUUGGAUUAAGGCGGUUACAUCCAGUAAAUGACUACUGAUUCCCAGAGGAGCUGGUGCCGGUGGACCGACGGGAUGGGCGGAGCUGGGACACCGGUAGUUUACUGAUGUGGAUUACAAGUUAUGAACUGAAGUAGCUGAAACGAAUCAAAAGUUCUUGAGGAUUUACGCUACUCGGAGGUUGGAUUUGACUGAUAAAAGCUCUUACUGGAUUUUAAAAUUGCCUGAGGAGGAUGAAAGGGAUUGACGCUCCAGUUUUAGACCACCGGACAAGAUCACAGUCAACAGUCGACAAAACAGGGAAACUCUGCUGCUGACCUCAAGAUUCCUCGAGGAGGAGCUGAGCGAGUGUGUGGGCGUGUGACCUCACAGCAGGACCCUUCAACUCUCACUGUAAUGCCUCGCCUACAGCAAGGAUCCCAGUCGGCCCAGGAGUUACGAGGUGGUGACAGGAUGGACUGACGAAUAACCAAAGAACUACAGACUCUUCACAACCUGCUCAAACUCUUGGUACAGGACCUCACCACACGGGUCAAGAAGGUUUCUGUCUCAUUUCUACUCUGAAGCUCACCUUCUCCUGCUCAAACUGCUGACAAAUGUUUCUGCUGCUCUAAAGUCUGGUCUCCAGAACUUCCUAAAAACUCUCAAAGUCUCUUCUGCUGCAGGUUGCUUUGUAGAACUGUCGCAGAAAACCUCACUAAACCACAUGGAGGGGCCUCAAGAUAGUCGUCCAAAUGAAAUCGUACAAAAACCAAACUAGCACAACCCAAACACUAAACUCUCCUGCAGCCUACCAGAGAACCUCUGAGAACAGAGAAUCAGGACAGGAACUCUUACCUUCUGGACAACCAACAUUGGUUCUCAAACAAGAAUACAGAAUGUGUCUGACCAAAAACCUCUAAAGACUCACUACAGCCAAGAUAAAGACACAACUCAGCUGCACCAAAUCCACUAAUCACUGCACACAUUAGGACCAUGUGCUAACUGUGGCUAAAGAACCACAUUUACCAAGACAACUAUCCAGUACAAAGCCAUAAAACACACCAAGAAACACAUUAAAGACGAUUUUACUGCUGGAAGCUGCAAGCCAACGCCUAAAGAACAAACUGAAGCAAUGGAGCUAAACCUGAU